CAAAAGUUUGGUCCUGACUUUAUUAACAGUUUUAACUUAACUUACACAUGCAAGUCUCCGCACUCCUGUGAGGAUGCCCUAGCCUUCCCACUUCGGGGGCAAGGAGCUGGUAUCAGGCACAAUACACCAUUUUGGCCCACGACACCUUGUUUAGCCACACCCUCAAGGGUUUUCAGCAGUGAUAGACCUUAAGCCAUGAGUGAAAACUCGACUUAGUUAAAGUUAAGAGGGCCGGUAAAACUCGUGCCAGCUACCGCGGUUAUACGAGAGGCCCAAAUUGUUAUGCAUCGGCGUAAAGCGUGGUUAAGAAAACAUAAAUAUACUAAAGCCGAAUACCUCAAAAGCUGUCAUACGCACAUCGAAGGAAAGAAGUCCAACUACGAAAGUGGCUUUAUAUUGUCUGAGCCCACGAAAGCUAGGGAACAAACUGGGAUUAGAUACCCCACUAUGCCUAGCCCUAAACAUUGACAGUGUUUUUACAUCGACUGUCCGCCUGGGAACUACGAGCGUUAGCUUAAAACCCAAAGGACUUGGCGGUGCUUUAUAUCCACUUAGAGGAGCCUGUUCUAGAACCGAUAAUCCCCGUUAAACCUCACCCCUCCUUGUUCUUUCCAGCCUAUAUACCACCGUCGCAAGCUUACUCCUUAAGGAACUACAGUAAGCUCAACCGGCACUGCCCAAAACGUCAGGUCGAGGUGUAGCGUACGGAGGGGGAAGAAUGGGCUACAUUUCCUAACACAGGAUAUACGAAAGAUAGCAUUGAAAAUUGCAUCUGAAGGUGGAUAAUAGUAAGCAGAAA
rnacentral:rRNA from 1 species